UACGGAGGGUGCAAGCGUUGUUCGGAAUUAUUGGGCGUAAAGGGCGCGUAGGCGGUAAUGCUAGUCAGAUGUGAAAUACUCCGGCUCAACCGGGGAACUGCAUCUGAAACUGCAUAACUAGAGUACAGAAGAGGGAAACGGAAUUCCCGGUGUAGAGGUGAAAUUCGUAGAUAUCGGGAGGAACACCGGUGGCGAAGGCGGUUUCCUGGUCUGAUACUGACGCUGAGGCGCGAAAGUGUGGGGAGCAAACAGGAUUAGAUACCCUGGUAGUCCCUGA
rnacentral:rRNA from 1 species